rnacentral:lncRNA from 1 species
UGAGCUCCAGGGAGCUUCCUGUCUGAUGGGGGUUGUCCUUCUGCAUAUAUUGUUUCUCUUAUUGGUUAAUGAGUAAAACACUGUUUGGCCAAUGAGGCAGGAAGAUAGGUGGGGCUGGGAGACAAGGAGACUUCUGGGAAAGGUAAGCUGAGAGGGCCCAGCAGAAGAGUCGUUAUGCAGAGCCCAGGAACAGAGGCUGCUCCAGGCAUUCUCUGGUAAGCCAAGGACACAUGGAAAUACAUAGAUUAAUAGAAAUGGGUUAAUAAUUAAGACAGAGCUAGCCAAUAAGAAGCCCUAGACAUCGGCCAACAAUUUUAUAACUAAUAUAGCCUCUGUGUGCUUUAUUUGGGGCCAAACAGCUGCGGGAGGCUCAAGCAGCUCCCGGCCCUGGGAUUGAAGGGAGCAUAGAUAGCUGCACGGGUCUUCUAAGAUAGUGCUGGAGCUGAGGCUCAAGGCCUCAGGAUGGCAAUCCCUUUACCCUAGUCCCCGCAGAGAUAGGUCCCUUCAGAGAUAAGUCCCAUCUUAUCUCUGAAGUUACUGUUUCACUUUCCAGCACUGGGUCACUGUGAAAUUCAGUAAAUGAAUGCAACAUUGUAGUUUCGUUCUGUACGAGCUACCAUAGCUGAGUUUUCAGUUUGAGUGAGUGAGUUUACUAAGUAUAUGGAAACCAAAAGUAAAACAGGAAAUAGUGAGCAGCAGAGGAAGAGACACAGCAAAGAUAGCAAAACAUCACCAAUUCAGGGGCUGACAACAUCCCGCAAGAACUGACUGAGGAAACCCAAGAGAGCAGCCAGCUGGAGUUCCCGGUGAGUCUCCAGUGCAGGAGAGCGGUCCCUUCAGUGAACAGUGAGCUGCAGAAAAGCGUCCUCCUCAGAUGGGGUGCUGACAACCACCUCGCAGACACUGACUGCGUUAGCAGGUGCUGGCCGCAGGAGUUGCUGCCUGAGCCUUCUCUUCAUGGAUGAGAGUCCCAUGAGAUCUGCAGUAAUUAACGAUGCUUUAACCAUGGGAGGAAACUAAAUCAGGGUUUGUUUAAAACUAUUGUAUUUUUGUGUGAGUUUCUCUAAACGUCACACUGAAAUUCUAAGAUUGAUGAAGCCACCAUCACGCUGGGCACUGAACAGCCAAAGCCUGGAGGUCUACACUAAUGAGGAUGAAAGAAACAAAAAAGACAGCCAAUAUUCUGGCCCUUGCCCUCGAAAGUCAGCCACACCCCAGGAGAUUUACCCCUCUGGUAAAUCACACCUUCCCUUGAUCAGAGCGGCCAUGGUGUCUGUGGAGACUGGACUCUGCCCGGAACACAUCCUUCAAGAAGGAGGGCCAAUGAAGAGGGACAUUCCUUAUGCUUCCAAAGGAAGCCACAUUGUCAGAGGGGCCCUGGCCUAUCCCUGCAGAUGGUAUAACGGAUAGAUGAAAACCUCUUCUUGAGACUCUGAGGGGAAGCUGUUAGGUUGUCUUUAAAAAGAAAAAAAAAAAAAGGUUAAUCUUUUAUGUAGUCUCAAACACCAAAAAGGAAAAUACAGCCAAAGCAAUUCUAAAAGCAUAAGCAAUUAAAAAGAGACAACUCGUCAAAUUCCAUAACAUCACCCACUGGUUCACCUCUCCAAGAUUAAGCCCUAUUUUCCAGAAAAUGAAAAGCAAGAGAAAUUCCCAGAAUAGCGAAUCAAUUGAGAACAUACACUUUAUUUUCAGAAGGGACCCCAAAGGAACUUAGACAAAUGCUAGCGCAUGCCAGGCAGGCUCUCUUGAGCUCCUCUGCCCCCUUAAAUGAAUACCCAGAUCUGCCUCUUGAAGAAUUUUGAAAAACUGUUAUUCAACAAAGACAGUGGCCCAUCCUUCCCAGCCUGGACCUUGAGACAUGUUCUAUGGAGACUGCAUCUCCCUGCUUCAAUUUACUCUGAGUCCUUAUUUACUAGUCACCCGUGCCUUCCACAUUCCGGGACGUACAACUUCUAAUAAGGCUGCCUGAGGGAUGCCAAUCCCUGACCACCAUGACUUCCUUCUACCGAGGGCUGCUGUAUGAACCAAAAUAAUGCCACAAAUGUCUCUCUCUCUGAACCUAGGGGAGAGACCCAUCAGCCCUUUCAUCGAUAUUUCUACCCAGCUCCAGAGCACUGAAGAGCAGUCAUGGCCUAUAGAAUUGGGUUCCAGAUCCUUAAGGAGGGAAUAUUAUGAUUAAAAAAAACCAAAUGCAUACUUUAAAAUAAAUAUGUAAAAAUUUUACAGUUAAACUGAUAAGAAAAAAAAAACUAAAAAAGAUAAGAGAUCUUUCAUCUGGAUAUGAGAUAGCCAAGCUCGCCAGACAAAAGACAUGACUGUAUGAUUAAACAGCAAAGCCUUGCUAGAGCUAUUUUUUUUUAUUGCAUUUGACCCCCAAUGUAUUACACCAGUCCACCUCAGGUGUUAUAAAAUCAUUUAAUAUAUAUAGAAAUUGCCUUUACUACCACAUGAACAAGUUAUGGGCUGAAUAAAAUGGACCGUGUAUUAGCCAAGGGUCAGGUGUUGUUUGGACUCACCGGGGAGCUGGCUCUGAAGCGGGUCUGCUCUCUCCCAUUUCAACCCAAGCCUGUUUGUCUCAAAAUGUCCCCGGAUGACCUCUUGUCCUCCUAAUUCUAUUCAGGGAGGGAGGAGACCACCACAAGAACCCAUGGGAAAAGAUACCAAAACCACGGUGUCUUUGAGAAUAGCUGGGAGAUGAAGCAUUCCCAACAGGGGCCACUAGUGAAAGAACCUACAGAUGCUUAUAUCUGUGGAGAGGACCCAGGGGACCCUCAGCCCGGGGAACUUAAAUGGAUUGACAGCUUCACCUUCCCAGUCAGUUUCUGCCGAACCCUUGUAAACACCUGGCUUGAUGACUUUGUGUAUCUUAGCUCUUUGCCCUUUCUCUUGGAGCCUCACCCAAGGGGACACUGCUCUGCAGGGGACUCUGUCAAUCAGAAGUCGGACGACUACCUUAAUCGGGCUUCCUCCGCUGAUUGCUGCUGGAUGCUUGCAAACCCGGAUUUGAUCGUAAACUCCCGAUUCGACGGUGUUUUCAUAUCUACUGAUGUUUCUCUCUACAUACUCACUGAUGUUUAUUUUUCAGCCUUUGCUUGCUAAAUACUCAACAAACUUGCUCAUUUGAAAUAAAAGCACAACGGUCGUAGGUCAUCCUCUGAACUACACAGAACAGGUUUAACGGUAAGUGUGAAUUGUGUGUUGUUCGAUUGUGUGUGCCAGGCAACGUACUCAGCACCCUAUACAUUUUAUCUUAUGUAUCUAAUAAUUGUCGUAACCACCAUGACACUGACAGGAUCACUGAAACUUACCAAGGCUUACAUAGACAAGAUCCUUCACCUAAAAUACAACUGGAAGGAUGUAGGAGAAUCUGUGGCCAGCCUACCCAUGCAGCAGGUGCCCAGGCCAGCAUGUGUGGCAAGUACUUCCUCCCUGAGCCAAGCCUGCCUCUACACCCAGAGACUGCAGACAGAGAGACACCUGACCCAGAGACACCAAUGAGGAAAGGACAUACAGCAGAGUCAGCGCCUGAGCCAAUGGGACCUUGGGAGGGACUAUAAAGGCAGACCUAACUUCCGGAAUAAACGAGUCUACAGCCUGCUCUGCUGCUCACUGACUCCCAGUGUCUGAGUUGUUGGUGCUGCGUCUUCUCACCCCUCCCCCAAGGGUGUCCGAGCAGGGUAACUCACAACAGGAGUGUGGGUCAAUGGUAGAGAACUUGCCCAGCAUGUACAAGGUCCUGUAUUCAAUCACUAGCACCAUAUAAAAGACACACACACACACACACACACACACACACACACACACACACACACACACACGACAGAAUUCAAACCUGCUUGAGUUCUUAGCCACUGUAUUUCAUACAGGUAACAAUCGAGACAUCGUGUUGCUGUUUGGAAACCCCCGACUUCAUGAGUACACGUCUCAGGAAUGAUUGUUGGGUGUGUGCCGGCUCCUGCUCAUUCCAGGAGGUGUGAAGACAGAAAGAGGCAGUCAGGCGGGAAGCUACUGGCUGUCGGAGGUCAGGCGUCACUCUACAGGCUUCCUUCCAAGUACAGAUGGGGAUGAAUAAGCCAGGCAGGACCCGGCUGUUGGGACACCGGAUACUACAGAAGAGGAGUACUUGGGAGCAUCUGGGUGUUAAGGAUGGCUUACACCAGGCAUUCUCCAAUUCCUGUGGCUCAGGUCUGAAGAAAAGGUGGCUAUGUAAGUCAAAAUCUACCAUUGUAAAACCAGGAGAGAGCUUCCCAUAAGGUCAAGGCCAGUGUUUGCCUCCGGCUCAGUGCUGAGUUCGGUCUCAUGAGGACAAGGUGAUGAUCUGGGCGAAAGGUUUGCUUUAUGAAAGGAUUCGCUUUAAAUAGCAGAAGACAACGCCCUCUCCUCACAGGUACACUUUAAAAUCCUCCCUUUUACAGAGCUCGGAGUCAAACCAGGACUUGUUUAUCCAGUCAAAAGCUUGACUCUGUGAAUGAGCCUUGUUGAUCUCUACACAUCUGUUUGGGAACUUUUAGUCUCCCAACCUGACCUGCCAUGGCUGUCUAACAUUCCAGAGGUCCCCAAAGGAGGAGGAAGAACUCAGACGCUAAACUUCGCAGAAAAGCUCAGACAUCUCUGUACCACAAGUGUGCCUGUUGCCCUUGGAAGUCAGAGGAGGAUGCUGGAUGCCCUAGAACUGGAAUUACAGAUGGAUGUGAGCCACCAUAUGAGGCAGCAGACAACUCAGAGUUACAGGAGUGGCUUGCAUUCAAAAUUUCCUGGUCAUGGCUGCUCCGGGUAGCUGCUCCUCCUCUCAGACAGCCAGCUUGACAUCUUCAGCCAACUCCCUCAGACUCUCAGAGAAAAG